AAUAGAUACCCUGGUAGUCCUAGCCGUAAACGAUACUCGCUAGGUGUCGGCCACGGUGCGACCGUUGUCGGUGCCGUAGGGAAGCCGUGAAGCGAGCCACCUGGGAAGUACGGCCGCAAGGCUGAAACUUAAAGGAAUUGGCGGGGGAGCACCACAACGGGUGGAGCUUGCGGUUUAAUUGGAUUCAACGCCGGAAAUCUUACCGGGACCGACAGCAAUAUGAAGGCCAGGCUGAAGACUUUGCCGGAUUAGCUGAGAGGUGGUGCAUGGCCGUCGUCAGUUCGUACUGUGAAGCAUCCUGUUAAGUCAGGCAACGAGCGAGACCCACGCCCACAGUUGCCAGCGUACUCUCCGGAGUGACGGGUACACUGUGGGGACCGCCGCUGCUAAAGCGGAGGAAGGAAUGGGCAACGGUAGGUCAGUAUGCCCCGAAUAUCCCGGGCUACACGCGAGCUACAAUGGUUGGUACAAUGGGUAUCUACCCCGAAAGGGGAUGGAAAUCUCCUAAAGCCAAUCUUAGUUCGGAUUGAGGGCUGCAACUCGCCCUC
rnacentral:rRNA from 1 species